rnacentral:tRNA from 1 species
GUUUUAGUAAUUUAAUACAAAAUAUUGGUCUUGUAAACCAGAAAUAAGGAGCGACCUUUUAAAACU